rnacentral:SRP_RNA from 1 species
GGUUCGGUCUCUCGUGAUGGUUCCGGUCCGAACCGGGUCAGAUCGGGAACGAAGCAGCUCUAAGGUCACGGCACCAGGUGCGUGAGCCCGAGCCCUC